UACGUAGGGGGCUAGCGUUGUCCGGAAUCAUUGGGCGUAAAGGGCGCGUAGGCGGCCUUCUAAGUCGAACGUGAAAUCCCCGGGCUCAACCCGGGAACUGCGUCCGAGACUGGAAGGCUCGAAUCCGGGAGAGGGAUGUGGAAUUCCAGGUGUAGCGGUGAAAUGCGUAGAUAUCUGGAGGAACACCUAUAGCGAAGGCAGCUCGCUGGGACGGUACUGACGCUGGAGGCGCGAAAGCGUGGGGAGCGAACAGGA
rnacentral:rRNA from 1 species